AUACUUACCUGGCAGAGGCAAUAUCAUGAUCAGGAAGGUGGUUCACCCAGGGCUAGGGCUUAACCAUUGCUCUCUGGGUGUGUCUGUGACUGGACAAAGUGCAGAUUUAUCCAUAGAUUCUACAACUCAGCAUGACAGUUUGGGAUUUGAUGCAUU
ensembl:snRNA U1 U1 spliceosomal RNA